rnacentral:rRNA from 1 species
AUUGAACGCUGGCGGAAUGCUUUACACAUGCAAGUCGAACGGCAGCACGGGGGCAACCCUGGUGGCGAGUGGCGAACGGGUGAGUAAUACAUCGGAACGUGCCCAGUCGUGGGGGAUAACGUAGCGAAAGCUACGCUAAUACCGCAUACGAUCUCUGGAUGAAAGCGGGGGACCGCAAGGCCUCGCGCGAUUGGAGCGGCCGAUGGCAGAUUAGGUAGUUGGUGGGGUAAAGGCUCACCAAGCCGACGAUCUGUAGCUGGUCUGAGAGGACGACCAGCCACACUGGGACUGAGACACGGCCCAGACUCCUACGGGAGGCAGCAGUGGGGAAUCUUGCGCAAUGGGGGCAACCCUGACGCAGCCAUGCCGCGUGAACGAUGAAGGCCUUAGGGUUGUAAAGUUCUUUUACCCGUGACGAUGAUGACGGUAACGGGGGAUAAGCUCCGGCUAACUUCGUGCCAGCAGCCGCGGUAAU